GGUCCUCGUCUUGGUGACCUCGCGAGAGGACUGAGGUGGCACCGGGCCGCUCUCCCCGAAGGGCACUGCGCGCAGUCCGGCGGAUCUCAGGUUCGCGUUCGGCGUCGGCGGGACCUCGGCGUCCAGCAGCGCGGAGACUGGGCUACCGUGGCGGGAGCGUUGAUUCCGUGGGCAGCCGGUCUGUCUGAGCUUACGCGCGGACCCGGCUCCGCGCCGGCACCCGACAGCUGUGGAACUCCUCAGGCGCGCCAGUGCGGAAUCCCAGAGCAGGGAGGGCCGCACAAGGACAGUCCAGGACGCGGCUCUGCGGCGUGGGGACGUCCUGAAUCCCACAGGUAUAUGAUAAACACUCUAAAAUUUUCGGUCUUAAAAGUCUGAAGUCGGGCUUCCCUGGUGGCACAGUGGUUAAGAACCCGCCUGCCAAUGCA